UACGAAGGGGGCUAGCGUUGUUCGGAAUUACUGGGCGUAAAGCGCACGUAGGCGGGUUGUUAAGUCAGGGGUGAAAUCCUGGAGCUCAACUCCAGAACUGCCUUUGAUACUGGCAACCUAGAGACUGGAAGAGGUUAGUGGAAUUCCCAGUGUAGAGGUGAAAUUCGUAGAUAUUAGGAAGAACACCAGUGGCGAAGGCGGCUCACUGGUCCGGUACUGACGCUGAGGUGCGAAAGCGUGGGGAGCAAACAGG
rnacentral:rRNA from 1 species